AAUACGGAGGGGGCCAGCGUUGCUCGGAAUCACUGGGCGUAAAGGGCUCGUAGGCGGUCUGAUAAGUCCUGUGUGAAAUCCCUUGGCUUAACCAAGGAACUGCGCCGGAUACUGUCGGACUCGAGGCCGGGAGAGGGAAGUGGAAUUCCCAGUGUAGCGGUGAAAUGCGUAGAUAUUGGGAGGAACACCGGUGGCGAAGGCGGCUUCCUGGACCGGUUCUGACGCUGAUGAGCGAAAGCUAGGGUAGCAAACAGGA
rnacentral:rRNA from 1 species